GCGCGAAACCUCCGCAAUGUGAGAAUUCGCGACGGGGGGACCCCAAGUGCCAUUCUUAACGGGAUGGCUUUUCUUAAGUGUAAAAAGCUUUUGGAAUAAGAGCUGGGCAAGACCGGUGCCAGCCGCCGCGGUAACACCGGCAGCUCUAGUGGUAGCCAUUUUUAUUGGGCCUAAAGCGUUCGUAGCCGGUUUAAUAAGUCUCUGGUGAAAUCCCGUAGCUUAACUAUGGGAAUUGCUGGAGAUACUAUUAGGCUUGAGGUCGGGAGAGGUUAGAGGUACUCCCAGGGUAGGGGUGAAAUCCUGUAAUCCUGGGAGGACCACCUGUGGCGAAGGCGUCUAGCUGGAACGAACCUGACGGUGAGAGACGAAAGCUAGGGGCGCGAACC
rnacentral:rRNA from 1 species